UUUAUUGUUACAUAAUUAAUUACAAUAAAAUCAAUUACAUAUAUUAAUCAUUAUAACUAAUGUGGAGAAUCUGACUCAAAACCAAGCAAUGCAGAAGCUAAGCACAGCCAGAACCAGUGGGGGUAUGUAAAAGUAAAGCAGCAUGAAACGAUGUUACAUGGCACCAAAAUUGAACUGAAAAGCUGCGCAAAUCCUGAACCAUUAUUCUGGUUUACAUCAG
rnacentral:misc_RNA from 1 species